CGGAGGAUCAUUACAGAGUUCAUGCCCUCACGGGUAGACCUCCCACCCUUGAAUAUACUACCUUCGUUGCUUUGGCGAGCCGCUUCGGCUACCGACCUUGGUUGGUACGCGCUCGCCGGAGAACACCAAACUCUGAAUUAAUUUGUCGUCUGAGUACUAUAUAAUGUUAAAAACUUUCAACAACGGAUCUCUUGGUUCUGGCAUCGAUGAAGAACGCAGCGAAAUGCGAUAAGUAAUGUGAAUUGCAGAAUUCAGUGAAUCAUCGAAUCUUUGAACGCACAUUGCGCCCCCUGGUAUUCCGGGGGGCAUGCCUGUUCGAGCGUCAUUUAAACCCUCAAGCUCAGCUUGGUGUUGGGGCCUGCCCACCGGCAGCCCUUAAAAUCAGUGGCGGUGCCAUCUGGCUCUAAGCGUAGUAAUUUCUCUCGCUAUAGGGUCCCGGUGGAGACUUGCCAAAACCCCCAAUUUUCUAUGGUUGACCUCGGAUCAGGUAGGGAUACCCGCUGAACUUAA
rnacentral:rRNA from 1 species